rnacentral:rRNA from 1 species
AAUCAACGCUGGCGGCGUGCCUAACACAUGCAAGUCGCACGAGAAAGGGACUUCGGUCCUGAGUACAGUGGCGCACGGGUGAGUAACACGUGAAUAAUCUACCUCCGAGUGGGGAAUAACUGAGAGAAAUCUUAGCUAAUACCGCAUAACACUUACGAGUCAAAGCAGCAAUGCGCUUGGAGAGGAGUUCGCGGCAGAUUAGUUAGUUGGCAGGGUAANGGCCUACCAAGACGAUGAUCUGUAUCCGGCCUGAGAGGGCGCACGGACACACUGGAACUGAAACACGGUCCAGACUCCUACGGGAGGCAGCAGUGGGGAAUUUUGCGCAAUGGGGGAAACCCUGACGCAGCAACGCCGCGUGGAGGAUGAAAUCCCUUGGGAUGUAAACUCCUUUCGAUCGGGAAGAUAAUGACGGUACCGAGAGAAGAAGCCCGGCUAACUCGUGCCAGCCGCCGCAGUAAC